rnacentral:tRNA from 1 species
GAUGCCAAGACGGCUACCACUACAUUCCCAGGGACA